CAGCUGAUGAUGAGUUACUCGGAUUCCCCUUCAAGACAUCAGGGAUGAUGGACAAGCCGAGUUUCUGAUGCU